rnacentral:rRNA from 1 species
AACGAACGCUGGCGGCAUGCCUAACACAUGCAAGUCGAACGAGACCUUCGGGUCUAGUGGCGCACGGGUGCGUAACGCGUGGGAACCUGCCCUUAGGUUCGGAAUAACUCCCCGAAAGGGGUGCUAAUACCGGAUAAUGUCUUCGGACCAAAGAUUUAUCGCCUUUGGAUGGGCCCGCGUUGGAUUAGCUAGUUGGUAGGGUAAAAGCCUACCAAGGCGACGAUCCAUAGCUGGUCUGAGAGGAUGAUCAGCCACACUGGGACUGAGACACGGCCCAGACUCCUACGGGAGGCAGCAGUGGGGAAUAUUGGACAAUGGGCGAAAGCCUGAUCCAGCAAUGCCGCGUGAGUGAUGAAGGCCUUAGGGUUGUAAAGCUCUUUUACCCGGGAUGAUAAUGACAGUACCGGGAGAAUAAGCGCCGGCGAACUCCG